rnacentral:lncRNA from 1 species
GCUGUGUUCAGGCCGGUCCACGCUGGGUGACCCAUGUGACCUGCUGCUUAGCAAUUCCUUGUCACCAUCUUCCCUUCUCAGCCUCUUUUUUCAUGCUAACAGGCAUAAAUGAAAUGAUGAUAAAAGUUUGAGCUCUUCUCGUGGAAUUCUUGUGAUACCGAUAUGUGCUACAUGUUCAUCAUCUCGUUGGUCUUCACCAUGAUAACUGUGGAGUAAGAAUUAUAAGCAGGUCACAGAUUAGGGACUUGAGAUUGACAGUUUGGCUUCCCUGUUCUGGGUGGCAAAGCCUGUGGAGUACUCACCUACCUGCUGCAUGAAGGCAGCAUGGAGGGACUGUAGCGGAUUAUCUACAAAGAUGGCCAAAAUUCUCUCAUCCCUGCAGGCACAUACAAGUCAGUAAAUUGCAGAUGUAAGAUUCAAAACCAGACUUCACAUCUACCGACUUCAGUGACCCUGAAAUUUGUUCACAGAGAGCAUUUAACAUAACUGUCUUCAUCAUCUCCUUCUCUACAUUAAAAAUUAUGGUUCGCAAAGACGUUAUUGGUGAUUCAAUCUUGAGUCAUGAAAAGUCAACCUGGAGCCACAAAAAGUCAACCUUGAGCCAAGCAGAGUGGAGAGUCAUACAUGCCAUUCCUGGGACCAUCAAAAAUGGCAGAGGUCACACAAAAGGCAAAACUUUUAAGAGGUGUUUCAAACGUCGUAUGGGCCAAAGAGAAGCUGGAUUUUCUAUUGGAGUCAGCUGUAACAUACGUGUGACGAAAUUGGCCUGUGAGGACAAGGCAGUGAGCAGAGAGGACAGCAGUCCUUAUGAGAACAAGCUCUAA